GACGCUGUGGCCGAAUGGUUAGCGCGCUGGACUCCGGACCGAGCAGUCCGGGUUCGAGCCCUGGCCGGGGUGACUGUGUUG
rnacentral:tRNA from 1 species